rnacentral:rRNA from 1 species
AUGAAGGAUGGUGAAGGUGUCGCUGAAAUGUACUCUAGGCUUGCUCUCAUCACAAAUGAGAUUGCCGGCUUAGGAAGUGAAGAGAUGACCGAUAGAUUCAUCAUCAAGAAGAUCCUAAGAGCCUUGGAUGGAAAAUAUGAUACCGUUAACACAUUGAUCCAAAUGAUGCCCAAUUACAAAGAUCUCAAGCCUACGGAAGUCAUUGGAAGAAUUGCUGCUCAUGAGAUGCCACUUAAGGAUAAGGAAGAGCUCCACAACAAGUUAAGUGGUGCUUACAAAGCCUCAUGUGAUUCUCCCACAUCAUCAAGUGAGAAACAAACCUUCAAUGAAGAAUUGAGCCUAAUGGUGAAGAACUUCAACAAGUUCUACAAGAGUAGAAGCAAGGAGAGAAGUUCCAAGUCAAGGUCCUACAAUGACAAAAGAUCUUCAAGUCGUGAACGAAAUUGCUACAAUUGUGGAAGACCCGGACACUACUCCAAUGAGUGUACGGCUCCCUACAAAAGAAGAGAAGAUUCUCCCAAAAGGAGUAGGAGAGAAGAAUCACCACCAAGAGAGAGAAGGAGUAGAGAUGAUCGUUAUGAACGAAGAUCCUCUCGGAGCAGCAAGGAUUCUGCAAGGAAGGACAAGCCAUCAAAGAGCUACACAAAACGAAGACAUCAAGCUCAUGUUGGUGAACGGGUAUCCGGCUCCGACUCCGACCAUCACUCCGAAAGAAGUUAUCACUCCGACUCUGAAUAUACUCAAGAUGAAGGUGUUGCUGGUCUAGCA